GUGACAAUGUCAUUAUAAAAGAGGACGCGCUUUCGCAUUUGCCAUCCGAUUUACACAAACUGAAACCAUGAGAUUCGUUCUGGUCUGCUUUGUUGCUUGCAUGGUGCUGGUCGGAGCGACGGCCUGCAUUACUGAGUACGCACCAGUUUGCGGCAAGAAUAGCAAGGGCGAAAUGCGCACCUUUUCCAACGAGUGCGCAAUGGAUACCGAAAACAGAAAAUAUGAUUUCGUCGAGCAGAAAAAGGGCAAAUGCUGAUGCAAGUUCUGGACGAGGAUUACUAAUUACAUUUAUUUUGGCGUGUGAUUUAUUCAAUAAAGAGAUACAAUAAUA